UACGUAGGUGGCGAGCGUUGUCCGGAUUUACUGGGCGUAAAGGGAGCGUAGGCGGAUUUUUAAGUGAGAUGUGAAAUACUCGGGCUCAACUUAAGUGCUGCAUUUCAAACUGGAAGUCUAGAGUGCAGGAGAGGAGAAUGGAAUUCCUAGUGUAGCGGUGAAAUGCGUAGAGAUUAGGAAGAACACCAGUGGCGAAGGCGAUUCUCUGGACUGUAACUGACGCUGAGGCUCGAAAGCGUGGGGAGCAAACAGG
rnacentral:rRNA from 1 species